GACAGCAUCCUAUUUGGCAACAAACGACGUCAUUUUGCUUGCCACGUUAGACUCGUGUAUUUGGAAAAAUGCUUUCAUUCACGUUGAAAAUCAAAACCUGAAUAAAGCGAAGCCGGAUUCCCCAAUUGAGUUCCCACCCAAUCCAGUAGAAAGAACCCUAGAUUUCGAUUUGCCCAAAUUGCUUCCCUUACGAUUUCGAAAACCCCACAUCAGAUGAUUUCUAAUCCCUAAUCUCCCAUUCCUCCGUAAUCCUCAUUUGUUCAUAACCCAAACCUUCAGAAACAUGAAGGAGAAAAUCAGUCGACUCGACCAUUUCCGCACGGUGAAUAGCUGCUCAAAUACUAGAAGAAAGGCAAGCGGAGAUAUCUAUGAACAUAACUAUUCGCACGGGAAAAGCAGCUAUGGAGUAUAAUGGGAAAGAGAAGGGAAAAGUUUCGUGAAUUUGUUCCAACUAUGUGACAAUGAAAAAAGUUCGUUGUAUUUGUCAAACUCCAUGUUUAUGUAAUCAGCCGUGAAUAUGUCACAAAUUAUAUUUGUUGUAAAAACAAGAAUCUUAUUUUGGUUAUGUUUAUCAUGUUUAUGUAA